AGACCCGAAACCCGGUGAUCUAGCCAUGGGCAGGUUGAAGGUUGGGUAACACUAACUGGAGGACCGAACCGACUAAUGUUGAAAAAUUAGCGGAUGACCUGUGGCUGGGGGUGAAAGGCCAAUCAAACCGGGAGAUAGCUGGUUCUCCCCGAAAGCUAUUUAGGUAGCGCCUCGUGAAUUCAUCUCCGGGGGUAGAGCACUGUUUCGGCUAGGGGGCCAUCCCGGCUUACCAACCCGAUGCAAACUGCGAAUACCGGAGAAUGUUAUCACGGGAGACACACGGCGGGUGCUAACGUCCGUCGUGAAGAGGGAAACAACCCAGACCGCCAGCUAAGGUCCCAAAGUCAUGGUUAAGUGGGAAACGAUGUGGGAAGGCCCAGACAGCCAGGAUGUUGGCUUAGAAGCAGCCAUCAUUUAAAGAAAGCGUAAUAGCUCACUGGUCGAGUCGGCCUGCGCGGAAGAUGUAACGGGGCUAAACCAUGCACCGAAGCUGCGGCAGCGACGCUGAUGCGUUGUUGGGUAGGGGAGCGUUCUGUAAGCCUGCGAAGGUGGCCUGUGAGGGUUGCUGGAGGUAUCAGAAGUGCGAAUGCUGACAUAAGUAACGAUAAAGCGGGUGAAAAGCCCGCUCGCCGGAAGACCAAGGGUUCCUGUCCAACGUUAAUCGGGGCAGGGUGAGUCGACCCCUAAGGCGAGGCCGAAAGGCGUAGUCGAUGGGAAACGGGUUAAUAUUCCCGUACUUGGUGUUACUGCGAAGGGGGGACGGAGAAGGCUAUGUUGGCCGGGCGACGGUUGUCCCGGUUUAAGCGUGUAGGUGUGUGUUCCAGGUAAAUCCGGUUCACUUUAACACUGAGGCGUGACGACGAGGCACUACGGUGCUGAAGCAACAAAUGCCCUGCUUCCAGGAAAAGCCUCUAAGCAUCAGGUAACACGAAAUCGUACCCCAAACCGACACAGGUGGUCAGGUAGAGAAUA
rnacentral:rRNA from 1 species